rnacentral:tRNA from 1 species
CGGGCUGUAGCGCAGUCUGGUAGCGCACCUGCUUUGGGAGCAGGAUGUCGUCGGUUCAAAUCCGACCAGCCCGACCA